rnacentral:rRNA from 1 species
CAACGAGCGCAACCCCUACUGCCAGUUACCAUCAAGGAGACUUGGGGACUCUGGCGGAACUGCCGGUGACAAACCGGAGGAAGGUGGGGAUGACGUCAAGUCAUCAUGGCCCUUAUGUCCAGGGCUACACACGUGCUACAAUGGUCGGGACAGAGCGAAGCGAAGCAGCGAUGCGGAGCAAAACGCAAAAAGCCGACCGUAGUUCGGAUUGGAGUCUGAAACCCGACUCCAUGAAGUUGGAAUCGCUAGUAAUCGCGCAUCAGCACGGCGCGGUGAAUACGUUCCCGGGCCUUGUACACACCGCCCGUCACACCAUCCGAGUAGAGGGUACCCGAAGCCGGCAGCCUAACCCGCAAGGGAGGGCGCCGUCGAAGGUAUGUUUUGUGAGGAGGGUGAAGUCGUAACAAGGUAGCCGUACCGGAAGGUGCGGCUGGAUCACCUCCUUU